GAGUAGAGACUGGUGCAUCCUCUUUGGAUUAAUAUCAAAAGAAGAGAUGCACAUAGCCUUUAAUCAAUGACGUAACUCCCAGGGAUUUAUCAGACAGAUUUACUCUCCCUUAGAUGUGGAGACAUAAGAGGUUGUAAGUGCAACCUGGAGCUGGGUUGCUAGUCCAUAAAGCACCUUGGAUAUCAAUGUCGACUCUGCCAGCUGUGAUGUCACUUGACCAAUGGGAGGAGAGAGGGGAAGCGCUGGCUUAGGGAGCUGAAUGUUAUCCACUCCCUCUCCCUGCCCUCUACAGCUUUUUCCCCCCAGCUGUGGCUGCUCUGGGAAGCAGAAGUAAAUAUUGAUUUUUAGAACCAUCUAGACCUGAUGUCAAAUCCUGGUUCUGUCACUUACUUGCUGUGUGACCUUGUCCUAGCAAGUUCACCUCUCAUUUUAUUUUAUUUUAUUUUAUUUUAUUUGAUACGGAGUCUCGCUCUGUCGCCCAUGCUGGGUGCAGUGGCACAAUCUCGGCUCACUGCAAGCUCCGCCUCCCGGGUUCACGCCAUUCUCCUGCCCCAGCCUCCCAAGUAGCUGGGACUACAGGCGCCUGCCACCACGCCCGGCUAAUUUUUUGUAUUUUUUGUAGAGACGGGGUUUCGCCAUGUUGUCCAGGCUGGUCUCAAACUCCUAACCUCAGGUGAUCCACCAACCUCGGCCUCCCAAAGUUCUGGUAUAACAGGCGUGAGCCAUCACAUCUGGCCUCACCUCUCCUUUUCAUUCAUUAAACAAGAAAACUAAUAAAUGGUGUAAUAUGGAAACGGUAGUACAUACUAAAAAGACAAUAAGAUAAGAUGGUUGGGUAUGGUGGCUCAUGCCUGUAACCCCAACCAAGGCAGGAGCUUUUUUGUUUUUGUUUUUGUUUUUGUUUUUGAGACAGAGUCUCACUCUGUCACCUGGGCUGCAGUGCAGUGGCGCAAUUUCUGCUCACUGCAACCUCCGCCUCCUGGGUUCAAGCAAUUCUCAUGCCUGAGCCUCCAGAGUGGCUGGGAUUAUAGGUGUGUACCACCUCGCUUGGCUAAUUUUUUUUUUUUUUUUUUGAGACGGAGUCUCGCUCUGUUGCCAGGCUGGAGUACAGUGGUGCAAUCUCGGCUCACUGCAACCUCCGCCUCCCGGGUUCAAGCCAUUCUCCUGUCUCAGCCUCCUAAGCUGGGACAAUAGACAUGCGCCACCAUGCCCAGCUCAUUUUUGUAUUUUUGGUAGAGAUGGGGUUUCACCAUGUUGGCCAGGAUGGUCUCAAUCUCUUGACCUCAAGUGAUCCACCUGCCUCGGCCUCCCAAAGUGCUGGGAUUACAGGCGUGAGCCACCGUGCCCGGCUAAUGUUUGUAGUGUUAAUAGAGACGAGGUUUCACCGUGUUGGCCAGGCUGGUCUCAAACUCCAGACCUCAGGUGAUCCACCUGCCUCAGCCUCCCAAAGUGCUGGGAUUACAGGCGUGAGCCACUGCGCCCGGCCGCUUUUGACUUCUUUUACGACACGGACCUUUCUGCAAUACAGAGACUGAAACUAAAGCAUAUGGUUGGAGAAGGAUUGGUAUUGUAUAGACAAAAAAUUUAGAGAAAUGAAAAAGCAAAAAAGACAAAUUACAAUGUAUUUUCAUAGUUACA
rnacentral:lncRNA from 1 species